rnacentral:rRNA from 1 species
CGACUCUCGGCAACGGAUAUCUCGGCUCUCGCAUCGAUGAAGAACGUAGCGAAAUGCGAUACUUGGUGUGAAUUGCAGAAUCCCGUGAACCAUCGAGUCUUUGAACGCAAGUUGCGCCCUAAGCCGUCAGGCCGAGGGCACGCCUGCCUGGGCGUCACGCAACGUCGC